AACAGGGAUUGCCUCAGUAACGGCGAGUGAAGCGGCAACAGCUCAAAUUUGAAAUCUGGCCCUCUCAGGGUCCGAGUUGUAAUUUGGAGAAGAUGCUUCGGGUGUGGCCCCGGUCUAAGUUCCUUGGAACAGGACGUCAUAGAGGGUGAGAAUCCCGUACGUGACCGGUGGCCUCGCCCGUGUGAAGCUCUUUCGACGAGUCGAGUUGUUUGGGAAUGCAGCUCAAAAUGGGUGGUAAAUUUCAUCUAAAGCUAAAUAUUGGCCAGAGACCGAUAGCGCACAAGUAGAGUGAUCGAAAGAUGAAAAGCACUUUGGAAAGAGAGUUAAACAGUACGUGAAAUUGUUGAAAGGGAAGCGCUUGCAACCAGACUUGCGCGCGGCCGAUCAUCUGGUGUUCUCACCGGUGCACUCGGUCGCGCUCAGGCCAGCAUCGGUUUGGGUGGCUGGAUAAAGGCCUCGGGAAUGUGGCUCCCCCCGGGGAGUGUUAUAGCCCGAGGUGCAAUGCAGCCUACCCGGACCGAGGACCGCGCUUCGGCUAGGAUGCUGGCGUAAUGGUUGUAAGCGACCCGUCUUGAAACACGGACCAAGGAGUCUAACAUCUAUGCGAGUGUUUGGGUGUCAAACCCAUACGCGUAAUGAAAGUGAACGGAGGUGAGAACCCUUAAGGGUGCAUCAUCGACCGAUCCUGAUGUCUUCGGAUGGAUUUGAGUAAGAGCAUAGCUGUUGGGACCCGAAAGAUGGUGAACUAUGCCUGAAUAGGGUGAAGCCAGAGGAAACUCUGGUGGAGGCUCGCAGCGGUUCUGACGUGCAAAUCGAUCGUCAAAUUUGGCAUAGGGCGAAAGACUAAUCGA
rnacentral:rRNA from 1 species